UGUGAGGUAGAGCGACUGAUAAGAUGCGAGGGCUUCACCGCCUAUCAAGUCUUGAUAAACUCCGAAUGCGCAUUAGUUCUAUCACAGGAGUGAGGGCAUGGGUGCUAAGGUCCAUGUCCUAAAGGAGAAGAAUCCAGACCAUCAGCUAAGGUCCCCAAAUAAACACUAAGUUGAACUAACGAAGUCAGAUUGCUAAGACAGCUAGGAUGUUGGCUUGGAAGCAGCCAUUCAUUUAAAGAGUGCGUAACAGCUCACUAGUCGAGGAGUUUGGCGUGGAUAAUAAUCGGGCAUUAAGUGUUUUACCGAAGCUAUGGGAUCAGUAAUGAUCGGUAGGGGAGCAUUCCACUCUGCGUCGAAGGUGAAGCGUGAGCUUUGCUGGAGCGUGUGGAAAAGCAAAUGUAGGUAUAAGUAACGAUAAAGGGGGUGAGAAACCCCCUCGCCGCAAGACUAAGGUUUCCUGAUCAACGCUAAUCGGAUCAGGGUUAGUCGGGUCCUAAGGCUCAGCCGAACGGUGAGGCCGAUGGCAGAACAGGUUAAUAUUCCUGUACUACCUGUAAGAGUGACGUGGAGACGGAGGAGUGACAACGCCGCGGACUGACGGAA
rnacentral:rRNA from 1 species